AUUGACGCAAUGUUUUACCUCCAUGAAAAAUUAAAAAGAACCGCCCCAUGUCCCUCCCUUUUUACACUUUGAAUUUCUUCAAUUGGAUUUCCAAUAACACCGUGGAAGCUAAGCUAGAAGAUCAGGUAACAUAUUAGAUUUUUUUUCAAAUAAAGAUUUUUUAACCAAAGACAAUUAAUAAUUGGAGCAGGCGCUACUUUUUGCACCAUUGAAGAACUCCACACACCAAAAAUCUGAAAUCACAAGAUCGUGAGAUAGCCGGUUAUCCCCAAAACAUUCCUUGUACGGCAGAGAACUACCAACAACUUCACAAUUGAUCGAUUAUCCGCAGCUGAAAGGGAUAAGAUGACAGAUUAUGAGACAUUACAGACAAAUGAGGAUAGCGAAAAAUCAAUUAAAGUUGCAAGAGAUGGGAGUUAUGUCUAUGGCUUAUGAAAUUAGUCAAUCAAUGAAGGGAAGAAAAAGAACAUGCAACAAUAAGAAAAAAUAUCAAAAGCCGGAUAACGAUGAUGAGUACACACCUGCUGAGGAUUGUGAACAACUAUUGAUCGACUCUAGUGAAGAUAGUGACAACGAUAAAAGGCAAAAGUGCAUAACAUUGAGCUCCCAAUCUUAAAAGAUUUUAUCGCAAAAGAUAAGUCCUGCUAUGCUUAAAGACAAUGCAAGUGACUCUCUAAUUGGAAUGGCAAGUUAAGUGAAAAGGCGCCAUCCAAGCUCGAAAAAUGAACAUAUAGAGGAGGAAUGGGAAAUGUACAACACGAAGUAGAAAGCAACCUUAAUUGGAUUCAAUGAAAACCAUGCACAUAUAGAGUAUCAAUGCAAUCUAAUCAAAAUCAAAGGUCGUCUGGUUUGGAGAAUCCUCAGUUGAACAUAAGCAAUUCUAUUGUGCAAAGUAGACCCUUGUCCCAUGGCCCAAAACAAAAUGAGGGUGACGUUGGUAUCCAUACAAAGACGGUGCAGAAGAAAUCAAUGUUUGCUUCUGGUUCACUUGGUGCUUAAGAGAAAAAGAACUUCGAGAUAAGAAAGCAAAUGCAGUAAGAGAAAUUCAAUUUCAACACACCUUAGAGGGAGAAUAUGAGAAUUAUAGGAGCUCAGACGAAAUUGAUUCAGACCAAGGAGAAGAAGAAGAUGUAGAUUGCGGAGAUUUUGUGCAUGCUCAUAAUGGCGAGAUACAAGAAGACCUAAAUGAAGCACUUCUUAACCAAGAGCAAGAAAGCCCUCAAAAGGGAAAGACGCGGAGACGGCAGACUCGCCAGUCAAUCAGGGGGGGUUUAAGGGGGGGGGGGGAUUUUAUCCCCUUCCCUCGCCCGUAGAAUAAGGAGGUAACCACUUAUCUUCUUAUCUUUGUCAAUCGAUAAUUUUCUUCCUUUUCUUUUGGCUCUAGUAGCAUUUUGUACUUCACCUGUAUAUACUACAUAACCAUAUGACCGAAAAAUAAACCAUAUUAUCAGUAUCUAUAUUGCUGUCAAUUAUAGAACAUAACAUAAAGUCAUAAAUAAAUAUGAAAAUACGGAAAUAAGCUUAGGCUACUUUACCUGCAACAAUUGUUCCACUAGUUAUAUGCAAACAAAAUCCUGUUGUAAAUCCUAAAAUAUACAUCUUUUAGCUCAAUAACCCCCCUAAUUUCUUCCAAAACCAUCCCUUCAGUGCUGGAUGCAUCUAUUUUUGGUUUCCUAUGUAUUGCUUCAAACAUUUUGUAUGCUGCUACUUGCCCUGCUGUAAAUGCAUUUAGACAUGGAGAUGUCUGUCCUAGUGACUUGUCUUAAUAGAAGUAUAUGAAAUCCAUAACUUGAGUUAAUGUUUUGGUUCAUGAUUUGUGUCAUUCUUUUUAUGUAAAUUUUCUCUUUAGUUUAUUUGAAACAAAAGUAAGAUAUCAGAAGAAUUGCGUGUGUUUUUUUAUAGUAAAACCAGACAGUUAUCCAAAUCAUUACAAAAUUACCUUCGGCUUAUAUAGCAUGUGCUUUUAUGACAAAAAAUUUGUCCUAGAGUUCUUUAUCCUUUCGAACAACAUAUCUGAUCCUUCUGUUUUUGUCUAUAGCUUACAGAUCUCACUUCUUUUAAUAAGUCAUUCAGUUGGAAAAAUAGAUAUAUUAACAAGCAAUCUUAAUCAGAAAUAUCGAAAGUUCACAUUGCCAAUUCUUUAGUACUAGACACGCCAUGGAUAGGGACAAGUAUAGCAUACAUGUGCUUCUAAGUUGUCAAAUUCUGCUAGAACUUCUUCCUCGUCUUCAGCAGUAAAUUCUCUCCCAAGAUGGCAUUGAUUUCCUGAUCCAUUAUAAAUGAAAUAUUAUUAGUUUUUAAAAAUUGAAUGAAAUAAUUUAAUACUAACAACAAAUACCUUCAGAAAAAGGAAAUGAAUUUCAUAUCACUCUACUGAUGUAGUCAUGUAGAACUCAUGAAAAAUGAAAAAAAGGAACAAAGCAACGCAUACAUCUUGAUAGGCUUUAGCUUCUGCAAUAUCAUAUAUCAACUUUCGAACAUCAUACAUGUUGAUCUCACUUUGUAUAGCUUUCAUUCCGUUGUUUCCUGAAUGCAAGCUCUCAUAAACAGCCUUUUGUUGGCUGGCUAAUUCAAUAUAUGCCAACUAAAACAAGUAAAUUUGUAAAAUUGAUGUCACGAAAAGAAUAGGAAGGCCAUCAAAACUAGCAUAAAAAGUCGGAGGUUCGAAUUGGCUUAAAAUAUUACUUGCUACUCUUCCUGCACCUUCUUCUUCAAUGCAAGUAAGGCUCUAUCUUUUCUCUUAUCAUGAAUCAAGUGUCAUGCAACUUGUUUUUUAGCUUCAAUUAGGGUUAUAAACCACUUGUUUUAUCAGUUGAGUUCGUGGACUAGUGGUACAUAGGAUGAGGUUAGUGAUUAUUUAAUGACAAAGAAACGGGAGAAUUAUUGUCCUUAAAUUAGGCCUAUAGUUUCCUACCAUGAGGGUGAUAAUUCCUGAGACACAUAUGACUAGUAGUAAAUAUGUUCUAGUUAAAAACAGAGAAAUGUAAUUAGUCAUGGCAUGGUUUAAAUUAUAUUUUUGUGUCAACUUUUACGUAGCACCUCCGAAAGGGAAGCGAACUAGAGGACCAACUAUGUGCAAAGAUGUGCAUGAAUGGACACCAGAGGACCGCAAGCCUAUAAUUCUGAAUGAAAUGGGGAAGCCUAUUGGUCCAGAUAAGACAACUGUAGAUAAUUUUCAAGAUUCAUUGGUACUUUAGCUCGUAAUUCUUCUUUAGUACCAUUGAACAAGCUUUAUUGGCAUCAUGUUGUAGACAAGUACAAGAUUUGGAGUUAUGUUAAGAAAUAUAUAUAUGAUAUCUGAAGAAGGUAAAGACCCUAUGUUGGCAUCAAUCGGGAGGCUUUGGCGUAUACAUAAGUGCACCAUGAAGCAGAGACACUUUACUCAAUACGACAAUGAUAAUGAUAAGAAAAGAAAUGCUCCGGAUACAAUGCCAGCUUCACAUUUCAAGGAUUUGCUAGAAUUUUGGAAUUAGAAUUAGUACAGAUACAGAGUGAAAAGAUAAAACAGGUUAAUUCAAACUAAUAGGCAUACUAUGGGUCCAACAAGCUUUGCUAGGAAACAACAUAAAUUGUAACAACAAGAUGCUGAGAAAAAGCCACCGUCACAAGCACUAUUGUAUAAAGAAACUCGAAAAAGGAAAGCAGACAAAAACUACAAAACAUCAUUUGAGCAUAUUAAUUCAAAGGAACAUUGAGAAGAUGGAGGAAGUCCAAAAGGAAAGUCAAAUUAAUGGAGAUGAUGCAUAUUAUAAAGUUAUGAAUAAAUCAGAAUAGUUGAAGAAAUGUUCAAUCAAAGGAAAGUGUAAGGGAGAUUACGCGGGCGGUGUAGUCAUUCCAGAUGAGUUUUUGCAAUCAUAAAAAGACCAAAUUGUGAAGGACACGGUUAGAGAAGUAAUGAAAACGUUCGAGCAACAACUUUAACCAGGAAUGUUUGCUAAUUUGUCUCAUUCACUUGAAAAUGUGUCCAGUAUUCAUAAUAUUACAAAUCAUCUUCAUGAAGGCACUAGUGAUCAAGAGAAGGUAAGGAUGAAGAGAAUCGAAAUGAUGAAUUGGAGUAGCAACACAUGAAAUCGAGGUCGCUAGGAAAAGGAAUGCAUAUGGCGAGAUGAUAGCAGACGGAGUUUAUAUAACUAUUAGAUCUAGUUUUAGAUUACCUGAAGAAUACGUACAUUCUUGUUGGAUGAUUUUGAUUUUAGAUUGAACAUAUGUUAUUUUCCACUAGUUUAUUAUUUAUUAAAGUAGCACUAAUAAGUCCACAAAAUUCUAUUAUUAUUAUAAUAUAUAACUGCCAAUUCAUAUAUUAA